rnacentral:rRNA from 1 species
GUAGAAUUCGGCUUAGAGUUUGAUCCUGGCUCAGAUUGAACGCUGGCGGCAUGCUUCACACAUGCAAGUCGAACGGUAACAGGCCGCAAGGUGCUGACGAGUGGCGAACGGGUGAGUAAUGCAUCGGAACGUGCCCAGUUGUGGCAGAUAACGCAGCGAAAGCUGCGCUGAGACCGCAUACGAUCUAUGGAUGAAAGCGCCGGACCGUAAGGCCUCGCGCGAUUGGACCUGCCGAUGUCAGAUUAGGUAGUUGGUGGGGUAAAGGCUCUCCAAGCCAACGAUCUGUAGCUGGUCUGAGAGGACGACCAGCCACACUGGGAGUCAGACUCGGCCCAGACUCCUACGGAGGCAGCACUGGGGAAUUUUGGACAAUGGGCGCAGGCCUGAUCCAGCAAUGCCGCGUGCAGCAAGAAGGCCUUCCGGUAGUAAACUGCUUUUGUACUCGAACGAUAACGGCUCUCGUUAAGACCUGGGGCUAAUGACGGGAACGUGAGAAUCAGCACCGGCGAGCUACGUGCAGCCACCCGG